rnacentral:rRNA from 1 species
GACGAACGCUGGCGGCGUGCUUAACACAUGCAAGUCGAACGGAAAGGCCCUGCUUUUGUGGGGUGCUCGAGUGGCGAACGGGUGAGUAACACGUGAGUAACCUGCCCUUGACUUUGGGAUAACUUCAGGAAACUGGGGCUAAUACCGGAUAGGAGCUCCUGCUGCAUGGUGGGGGUUGGAAAGUUUCGGCGGUUGGGGAUGGACUCGCGGCUUAUCAGCUUGUUGGUGGGGUAGUGGCUUACCAAGGCUUUGACGGGUAGCCCGCCUUGGAGGGUGAACGGGCCCCAUGGGCCUGGGGUACGGGCCAGUCCGCCACCGGGGGCAAUAGGGGGGAAUAUUGCACAAUGGGCGGAAGCCUGAUGCAGCAACGCCGCGUGCGGGAUGACGGCCUUCGGGUUGUAAACCGCUUUCGCCUGUGACGAAGCGUGAGUGACGGUAAUGGGUAAAGAAGCACCGGCUAACUACGUG